rnacentral:rRNA from 1 species
CCCUUAGAUGUCCUGGGCUGCACGCGCGCUACACUGAUGUGUCCAGUAAGCACCUAACCUCUUCCGAAAGGAACGGGUAACCUUUGCAAAGCACAUCGUGAUGGGGAUAGAUUAUUGCAAUUAUUAGUCUUGAACGAGGAAUUCCUAGUAAGCACAAGUCAUCAGCUUGUGUUGAUUACGUCCCUGCCCUUUGUACACCCCGCCCGUCGCUCCUACCGAUUGAAUGUUCCGGUGAGCUCUUCGGACUGCGCGGUCUGCAGUUUCUGCGUUCCGUGCGGAAAGUUGCGCAAACCUUAACAUUUAGAGGAAGGAGAAGUCGUAACA